rnacentral:lncRNA from 1 species
CGAAUUUAAAUAAUAAAUACUAAACCGAUUAUUUAAAUACACCAAUCACAAUGUAACACAUUAACAACUUAAAAAAAAGAUGUUUUGAACAUUUUUAUGGGAGUAUCUCCCUAUCAUGAAAUGCUAUAUAAUUUAUGUUUUGUAUCGGUUCGAUUUGACAAAAUUGCGAGUGCAACAGCUGCAAAAGUUUAGGUGCAACGUGCAACUGCUACGUAACACAAUAUUUAACAUGGAAAUAUGUCAACUAUAGAGAUUAGUUUAUCAAAUAAACCUUUUCGUUAUCAUUAAUUAGAAUAUAAGAACAAUUCAAUCAAUAAUAAUCUUAUAUGCCAAUCUUGGCCUUCCUAAGCUGGUGAAAACAAAACCCUGUUCAUAUGACCAUUUUUUAUUAAGAGUUUUAGUUCGUGUGUAUACUGUGCUCUGAAGUGUUUUGAGAGACAUUUAGAAUGAAAACAGGUUUAAAUCCUAGAAGAGAUUGUAAAUACUUUCUGUUUAUUGCAUGCUGAUGUGAAUAAAGGUGAAUAUGUAAGUACACUCCUAACAAAAUCAUUACAUUUUGAAUUUCAAAUAAACAACUAAUGUAACUACUUGUAUUCAUUUUUCAACCAGAAUAAUCAAUGUCUAUAAAGUACAAACUACCUUGAGUCUGAAUAAGGAUAUAAAUACAUUGCUAUGAUCGAAACACACUGGCAGUCACUUCUCAAUAAAGUUACCUUACCUCUGACACCAUGCAAAAUUGAUCCACCUGAGUUGUUGUGAAAUUCAGAAAAAGAUGUUAAUAGUAAGGACAAUCAAGUAUAACAUUGUAACCAUGAUGCACCCACAACCCAUAAGGGCACCCCCAAAGAACAAAAUAAUAAAAAACGUCGAUCAACUCAAAUACAUUCCUCAAAGAUCAGCAUAUUUAAAGGAAGACUAACAUUUGAAACCUUCAAUCUCCAACUAUAGUUCUAUGCUCGAAACAUUAAGAAAUCAAUUAAAAGCGAGUGUUCAUCUCAUCAAUUACAAUAUUGUGUGAAUAUACAAAGACUCGAGGUAUAAAUCAAUUAAAAAAACUAUAAUGUUACUUUUUUCUAUCUUUUGUUUAGCCUACUUGCUGCUGCAAGUGAUUCGAGAUAAAAGUGAUAUACAUAGUCGGAACACUGCAAACUAGAGAUAUAUAAGAAAAAGAAAUGGUAAGUAAGUUCAUCGCCAUAUGUCACUUGAAUCAGUAACUGAGCAAAGGCAUCCAUGCAUUUCUCAGCCAAAAAGUAAUAAACUUACCAACGGGUCGUCCAUAGGCGUUCCCAUCAGUGCAAGAAAAUAUAGCCUUUAAAAGUAGCAGAUGAAUCAACCAGAGCCUUCAAAUAAAUUUUACAAGAGCAAAGAGCAAAAAGGAAUUGAGUUUACCUUUCUGUAGGAAUUUAUCCAGGAAAGUGACAUCAGUCCUAUGACACAAAUGUUCAAAAUUGAUAACCUUAGCUUUUAAAGAUUAAGAGGGUCUAAAUAUGGAAGGAGAAUUACACACACAAACACUCUCGCUCUCUUAGAAUUUCUUUGUUUUCUUUUCUUUUCAACCAAAAAAGAUACAUUCAAGUAAAUAGCAGAAGAGUUUUGCAAGCAGAAGCUAUUAAAAAGCAGAGAAAGAAACAGUUCCUAAUUCAACUUAAGGGAUUCUAAAUUCAAGUUAUGUCAAAUUAGAAAAUUUUUGGUAUCAUAGUUGAGGAGCUAAAUAGGGAAGACAUUUUUUAAUCACUCUGAUUUAUGUUUACAUGAUACUGGGAAAAAGAAAAAAGUCCAUAGGCCUUUUCAUGGGGACUGUAUAUUAUAAUUCAUUUCCAUUUUGCUCCUCUCCAAGAACAGCAUGGAGUAAUGGGGAACAGAAUGCAUUCGUUGCUCCUCUUCAAAAAUCACAUCAUCUUUGUUGGAAUUGGAUGCACUUUUCUUUACAUAAUCACAAUUGAUAUUCAUGGAAUAGACUAUGAAAUUUCUACUUGGCUGAUCAUAUCACCAAGAUGAUGAUGACAAACUAUUACAUAACACCAAACAACAUCAAUCUCACAUAUGCAUAAAUUCCUAAUUUUCACUUAUUUCCAUAUAUCACUAUCAUUGACAUACUCUGCACAAAAGCAUUCGCCUCAAUUGUCUGGAGCUGCCAGGGCAGCAACAUCCUCUGCAGUAGUACCCUCAUCGAUUCGACACCAAUUAAGCACUUGGAAUCCGUGAAAAUGUGUCACACUAGGUCUGGGAAAUAAGACUGUGAGCGGCACCAAAAGAAAGUCUCCCGGUGACUCCUCACAAGAAGAAAAAGAGAAGGAUGACAGUUUGGAAUCCCCUGAGAAUGAAGAAUAUCCAGAUAACAAAAGAGCAAGGAUAGAAGAGGAGAAUGUUCCUGAAGAGGAGGAGCAGAAUCAAGUUGGAGAAUUAGGUUGCAAUCUUGAUGUUGCAAACCAAAUGAUGAACAAUUCUGGCUCUUUUUGUUACUCAAAAGGUCUCCUGUUGAGGCCAGGGAUUACUCAGCUUCCUUAUUUGGUCAUGAGGGAGUAAUCCCUGGCCUCAAGAGGAGACCUUUUGAGUAACAAAAAGGAGUCAGAAUUGUUCAUCAUUUGGUUUGCAACAUCAAGAUUGCAACCUAAUUCUCCAAUUUGAUUCUGCUCUUCCUCUUCAGGGACAUUCUCCUCUUCUAUCCUUGCUCUUUUGUUAUCUUCCUUCUCAGGGAUUCCAAACUGUCAUCCUUCUCCUUUUCUUCUUCUGAGGAGUCACCGGGAGACUUCCUUUUGGUGCCGCUCACAGUCUUAUUUCCCAGACCUAGAACAUCGUCAUCGCUGUGAGCCAUCCUAGAACAACAAAAGGAGAAUUAAAUCAGCAAAGUUAACAAGAAUCCUCACUUAACAAGCAAAGUUAAGCCUCUUCAAAAUCAGCAAACAUUCAACCCAAAAUUCACACAUAAAAGAUAUUUUCGUUCUAAAUCUAGAUCCAACUUUAUGAAUAUGAACAAAAAACAUUAGAAAAUUCAAAAUUCAUCUAAUAAUCUUUCUUUACUUAAAAACAAGGCACACAUAAUACUGAACUGUGACUAGUGUGAAACCCUAGCAUAGAACGUGAAACCGAAUUUUCCAAAACUAGAACUACACAAUAGAAAAAAACGAAUUAGAAUUCAGGAUUGAGCUGUUGCAAUUGUAAAUAAUGUGAUAAUGAUUUGAAGGAGAACGUAAAUCGCGAAGAAAAUCCAAAUUCAGAGCACUAACAAUAGAAAGAAACGAAUUAGCAUUCAGGAUUGAGCUGUUGCAAUUGUAAAUAAUGUGAUAAUGAUUUGAAGGAGAACCUAAAUCGCGAAGAAAAUCCAAAUUCAGAGCACUAAAAACGAAGAGAAGAAGAGAAACUUACGAAGAAACAGAGAUGGAGAAGAAUUUCGUGCGAGUCUCUGCGAUUUCAAAUUUGAGUGUAAUCCUUAAGAGUGUUUAAAUUUAAGGGUGGAAGAAACGAAAUAAAAGCCCAAUAUAUUACAUAAAGGCCCAAUAAAUUCUAUAUGGGACAAUGUUUUCACUUUUUAUGUUAAAUCGUAUAAUAUAAAGUUAUUAAAACUUAUCAAAAUAUAUUUAAAUUAAUUAGUUUAAAUAACUCUUACCUAACAUAAUAGGUGUUAUUUGGUCGAUCUGUUAUCUCUUGGAGUAUAUGUAUUUAUUGGUAUUGAAAAAGAAAUGUUAGAUAAUUAAAUUUUCUUUUAACUAAGUUAAACCAAAUCAAAUUUAUGUUAAGCGCAUUUUUUCUUUGCGUUCUUCUUCUUUCUCCUCAUAUUUCUUCGUUAUCAUCAUCAUAGUAUUUUUUUUUUCCUUCUCUUCCUUUUUCUGCAUCUUUUUCUCUUCUUCCUUUUUCUUUUCAUUAUUUUUUCUUUUUUUAAAAAACAAAAAGAGAAUAAAGAAAAGAAAAUACAUGACAAAAAACAAGAGUAACGAAAAAAAGAAAGAAGAAGAAGCAUUCUAGUUUAGGUGCAACGUGCAACUGCUACGUAACACCAUAUUUAACAUGGAAAUAUGUCAACUAUAGAGAUUAGUUUAUCAAAUAAACCUUUUCGUUAUCAUUAAUUAUUAGAAUAUAAGAACGAUUCAAUCAAUAAUAAUCUUAUAUGCCAAUCUUGGCCUUCCUAAGCUGGUGAAAACAAAACCCUGUUCAUAUGACCAUUUUUUAUUAAGAGUUUUAGUUCGCGUGUAUGCUGUGCUCUGAAGUGUUUUGAGAGACAUUUAGAAUGAAAACAGGUUUAAAUCCCAGAAGAGAUUGUAAAUACUUUCUGUUUAUUGCAUGCUGAUGUGAAUAAAGGUGAAUAUGUAAGUACACUCCUAACAAAAUCAUUACAUUUUGAAUUUCAAAUAAACAACUAAUGUAACUACUUGUAUUUAUUUUUCAACCAGAAUAAUCAAUGUCUACAAAGUACAAUGAAUAAGGAUAUAAAUACACUGCUAUGAUCGAAACACUGUGGCAGUCACUUCUCAAUAAAGUAACCUCUAACAGCAUGCAAUUCUCUUAACAAGCUAUACACUCUGUUCCAUCUCUAACUAAACAGCAAACAUUGGAUGCAAUGCAAUCAUAUCUCCUUCAAGCAUGCCUUUGAGACAUUGGCACGUUAUUAUCACUUGGUUGUAUAACAAAUAAUUCAUUCAAUGAUCUCACAAUGAUCUAUAAUCCUUCACCAUUAAAAUUUCGCUGCAUAAUUUUCGUGGCACUUGCUCUAUCUUUGUUCCCUCUUGCCAUGCUUGACCUAUACAAACCCCUGGACCUAUAUGACGGAUAUAUAUAACAAGUUGAUCGUUGAAAGGGUAUGGAUGUUUAACUGCAAAACCCAGAGACAACUGAAAUUUAAUAAAUUCGGCACGUGCCAGCACCUUAAACGAUGCAUAGCCACCCUGUUUGUUAUAUGUUGUAUAAUCACACAACAGAAUAAGAAACAUAUGAAGUGGUAAAAGGGUCACCAAGAAAACAAUGACACAGUAGUAGACCAUGCUGAAAUCUAUCAUAGAGAAGUUUAGAGUAAAAUUAUGGCGAGUUUAGAAUUCAGUUAAUGGUAUGAAGAUGCAAUAUGAACGUACAGUCAGAAACACAUUGUAUGAAAGAAACAAAUGGUGCUUACCAGGUUUUGGAAAGCCUUGUGGGAAUUCUUUCACAUCAAAAAGUCCAUCCCCAAAUUCAUAUGCUAAAUCACAAGGCUGCUCAGUUGGCAUAACUUCCUUAAUGUCUCUCAGUGCAAAAUACAAAGGAGCAAAAGAGUCAGCAAAUGGGGCCAAAAUUGAUCCACCUGAGUUGUUGUGAAAUUCAGAAAAAGAUGUUAAUAGUAAGGACAAUCAAGUAUAACCUUGUAACCAUGAUGCACCCACAACCCAUAAGGGCACCCCAAAUAACAAAAUAAAAAAAGGUCGAUCAACUCGAAUACAUUCCUCAAAGAUCCUUCAUUAAACCACAAUGACAUCAGCAUAUUUAAAGGAAGACUAACAUUUGAAACCUCUUCAAUCUCCAACUAUAGUUCUAUGCUCGACAUUAUGAAAUCACAAUCUAAAAAAGUGAAGAGUGAUACUAUACAAGGUUGACAUCAUUAUGGAGAGAUUUCAAAUAUUGUAAUUAGAAAAUUUAGAUGUUUCUUAUUUUCUUUUAAUUUUUCCUUCUGUGUAUGGGCACAUAUUCUGUUGAUCUGUUCUAAUAAUAGCUAUUUUAUUUGAUCAAUAUGAACAAUCAACACACCAGAUCAAUCAUAAAAGUUCCUCAUAAAAGUUGUCACUUGUCACCAUUUCUUUUUUCUUCCUCUCUAGCAGAGAAAAUUGACAAGUAAAAAUGAAUGUUCAUCUCAUCAAUUACAAUAUUGCAUGAAUAUACAAAGAUUCAAGGUAUAAAUCAAUUAAAAAAACUAUAAUGUUACUUUUUUUUCUUUCUUUUGUUUAGCCUAGUUGCUGCUGCAAGUGAUUCGAGAUAAAGGUGAUAUACACAGUUGGAACAUUGCAAACUAGAGAUAUAUAAGAAAAAGAAAUGGUACGUAAGUUCAUCGCCAUAUGUCACUUGAAUCAGUAACUGAGCAAAGGCAUCCAUGCAUUUCUCAGCCAAAAAGUAAUAA